rnacentral:rRNA from 1 species
GGAAGGCAGCAGUGGGGAAUAUUGCACAAUGGGCGCAAGCCUGAUGCAGCUAUGUCGCGUGUAUGAAGAAGACCUUAGGGUUGUAAAGUACUUUCAAUAGCAUAAGAAGGUAAUGAAACUAAUAAUUUUGUUAUCAGACGUUAGCUAUAAAAGAAGCACCGGCUAACUCCGUGCCAGCAGCCGCGGUAAUACGGAGGGUGCUAGCGUUAAUCGGAAUUACUGGGCGUAAAGAGCACUUAGGUGGUUUAUUAAGUCAAGUGUGAAAUCCCUAGACUUAAUCUAGGAACUGCAUUUGAAACUAAUAGACUAGAGUUUCGUAGAGGGAGGUAGAAUUCUAGGUGUAGCGGUGAAAUGCAUAGAUAUCUAGAGGAAUAUCAGUGGCGAAGGCGACCUCCUGGACGAUAACUGACGCUAAAAUGCGAAAGCAUGGGUAGCAAACAGGAUUAGAUACCCUGGUAGUCCAUGCUGUAAACGAUGUCGACUAAGAAGUUGAAAGCUUUGACUUAUAAUUUCUGUAGCUAACGCGUUAAGUCGACCGCCUGGGGAGUACGGCCGCAAGGCUAAAACUCAAAUGAAUUGACGGGGGCCUGCACAAGCGGUGGAGCAUGUGGUUUAAUUCGAUGCAACGCGUAAAACCUUACCUGGUCUUGACAUCCACAGAAUUUUAUAGAAAUAUAAAAGUGCAAUUUGAACUGUGAGACAGGUGCUGCAUGGCUGUCGUCAGCUCGUGUUGUGAAAUGUUGGGUUAAGUCCCGCAACGAGCGCAACCCUUGUUUUUUGUUACCAUCAGAUAAAGCUGGGGACUCAAAAGAAACUGCCAGUUAUAAACUGGAGGAAGGUGGGGACGACGUCAAGUCAUCAUGGCCCUUACGACCAGGGCUACACACGUGCUACAAUGGCGUAUACAAAGAGAUGCAAUAUUGUAAAAUAAAGCUAAUCUAUAAAAUACGUCUUAGUUCGGACUGGAGUCUGCAACUCGACUCCACGAAGUCGGAAUCGCUAGUAAUCGUGGAUCAGCAUGCCACGGUGAAUAUGUUUCCAGGCCUUGUACACACCGCCCGUCACACCAUGGAAGUGGGUUGCAAAAGAAGUAGAUUAAUUUAACCUUCUUAACAAGAAAAUAGUUUACCACUUUGUGAUUCAUGA